CCUGUCUGUGCUCUCGGCCAGCCCCAAGGUGACUUCCAAGAAGGUCAAGCUCUCUCGCCGGUCAGAAGAGGGCGGGCUUCUGGAGCCUUCGGGAACUGCCUCCCGCCAGCCCUCCUGUCAGGGUGUGGGGCCCACCACGCAGCACCCGCCUCCGACCUGGCUCUUCCGAGCGCCCCGCGAGGCCCCGAUCCUGGUCUACACCAAAGAGGGAAGGAACUGUGAACACUGCUAUGGGGAUGGCUUCCUUGGUUUCCUGAGAGGGGUCAGAAGCCCCACAGAGAAGCACCUGUGUGCAGAGAACAUUCCACGCACAAGCAAGAUUCCCUCUGCAGGCUCUCCAAAGAGGAGUGCUGCUGGACGUACAGAAGUUUUUUCAUAUCAGUGACAGAAACGCUGGUUUGCUUCAGACAGUCUUCAUCAGCUGCCUGCUGCUGUCUGCUCCUGUGUUUGGCUACCUGGGUGACCGCCACA
rnacentral:lncRNA from 1 species